UGCGCAGAAGGAGGGAGGGGAAACACAAAGCCGGCUACGCGCUGCGAGAUAACAAGAGUAAUCCACAGACUUAAAACAUGAGCUCAGAUGCCAGCCAAGGUGUGAUUACCACUCCUCCUCCUCCCAGCAUGCCUCACAAAGAGAGAUAUUUUGACCGCAUCAAUGAAAAUGACCCAGAAUACAUUAGGGAGAGGAACAUGUCUCCUGAUCUACGACAAGACUUCAACAUGAUGGAGCAGAGGAAACGAGUUACUCAGAUCCUGCAAAGUCCUGCCUUUCGGGAAGACUUGGAAUGCCUUAUUCAAGAACAGAUGAAGAAAGGCCACAACCCAACUGGAUUACUAGCAUUACAGCAGAUUGCAGAUUACAUCAUGGCCAAUUCUUUCUCGGGUUUUUCUUCACCUCCUCUCAGUAAGAAUAAGUAAGGAGCAAGACCACAUUAUAAUAAU
rnacentral:sRNA from 1 species